rnacentral:rRNA from 1 species
AUGCGCAAUGGGGGAAACCCUGACGCAGCAACGCCGCGUGAAGGAUGAAGGUUUUCGGAUUGUAAACUUCUUUGAUGGGGGACGAACAAAAUGACGGUACCCCAAAAACAAGCCACGGCUAACUACGUGCCAGCAGCCGCGGUAAUACGUAGGUGGCGAGCGUUGUCCGGAAUUACUGGGUGUAAAGGGCGUGUAGGCGGGAAUGCAAGUCAGAUGUGAAAUACCGAGGCUUAACUUCGGAGCUGCAUCUGAAACUGCGUUUCUUGAGUGUCGGAGAGGAAAGUGGAAUUCCCAGUGUAGCGGUGAAAUGCGUAGAUAUUGGGAGGAACACCAGUGGCGAAGGCGACUUUCUGGACGAUAACUGACGCUGAGGCGCGAAAGCGUGGGGAGCAAACAGGAUUAGAUACCCUGGUAGUCCACGCCGUAAACGAUGGAUACUAGGUGUAGGAGGUAUCGACCCCUUCUGUGCCGCAGUUAACACAAUAAGUAUCCCACCUGGGGAGUACGGCCGCAAGGUUG